rnacentral:ncRNA from 1 species
GCCGACCAACGCGGGAGCCCGGAGAACCGGGCUGAGAGGACGGCUGGAACGGCCGCCGACCGCCAGAACCUGCUCCGGGUAAUGCCGGCGAAGGGAGUUUGCGCGAUGUCCGA